CAAAUCCCUAAACCUUUUCUUUUUCUCUCCAUGAAGUUUACAAUUUAGUUUUUAAGCUUUGUGGGGUUCUGUUUGUUGUUGUUCUUUAUUCCAUUUUUGUGUGUGUUUUUGUAGGGAAUGGAAGAAAAUUACAGGAGGUUGAAGGAGAUAAACAAGAAGUUGAGAAGGGAGAUUUAAUGGAAGUUAUAUCCCUUUCCCAACUAUGAAUUUGUUAUUAUUUUGUUUCAUUUUAUUGGUUGAUUAGAAUGGGGGAGAUAAAGGACAACGACGCCUACGAGGAAGAGCUUCUCGACUACGAAGAAGAAGAUGAAAAGCCCCUGACUCUGCCUCCAUUAAGGCUGCUGAUUCUGCUAAGAAGGGGUAUGUUGGAAUUCACAGUUCGGGAUUCACAGACUUUUUGCUGAAACCGGAGCUACUUCGAUCUAUUGUGGAUUCUGGUUUUGAACAUCCUUCCGAAGGUUUCUGAGGUUGGAUCUCUUUUAGGUAGAGCUGGUACUGCUGGGCUUGGAAAGGCUGUGGAAGUUUUGGACACCCUUGGUAGUAGCAUGACAAAUUUGAACCUCAACAGUGGCUUUAUCUCAGGGGUAACGACAAAAGGGAAUAAAAUAGCAAUUCUAGCUUUUGAAGUUGCAAAUACGAUCGUUAAAGGUGCCAAUCUGAUGCAAUCGCUUUCUAACGAGAACAUCAGACAUUUAAAAGAGGUGGUCCUUCCAUCAGAAGGAGUGCAAAAUUUGAUAUCAAGAGAUAUGGAUGAACUCCUGAGAAUUGCAGCUGCUGAUAAGAGGGAAGAGUUAAAAGUUUUUUCUGGAGAGGUGGUGCGUUUUGGCAACCGUUGUAAAGAUCCUCAGUGGCAUAAUUUGGAUCGUUAUUUUGAGAAGUUGGGUUCUGAGCUUACACCUGAGAAGCAAUUGAAGGAUGAAGCAGAGGCAAUAAUGCAACAAUUGAUGUCUUAUGUUCAGUAUACAGCCGAAUUAUACCAUGAGUUGCAUGCCUUGGACAGAUUUGAACAAGAUUAUCGACGGAAGCUUCAGGAAGAGGAUAAUUCAACUGCUGUUCAAAGAGAUUGGUGGAUGCUACAUUCCAUAUUUUGGCUGCCCAGCCUGGGAUUAUAACUUAGUUUUCAGAGGCCUAGGUUGAGUCAAACUGGAUAUUGUCUGUGACACUCUCGGCAAUUAUUUGCUGUCUCAGUUCUUUUAAUAUUGAAGGUUCUUUAUGACCAAGUUUUUCCUCCUUCCUUGGUAAUUUUAUCGGGUAUGGCUAAUUUUAUGAUGGUACUAUAAUUUUGAUUUUUACAUGCAGGAGACAGCCUAUUGGACUGUGAUAAAGAACACAUCCCCUAUGCCCUAUUUUCGUUUAAGGACCGCCAAGGAAAUUCUGAAACUGAAAGCUGAUUGAUCGGAUGUGUAUGUCGGCUUUCAUCAACUACUUUCGAAGGCCUUACUAGGAAUUGAAAUGGUGUGCAAAGAGAUUGCUUCUUCUGAUCUGAUUUUUCGAUAUAAAUACUGGACAAAGUAUGGCUAUUUCUUGCCAGUUGCAUUUACUGUUGUUAGUAAAAUAGGAUUCUCUUCUUAGGAUAUUAGUUUCUUCACUUGUAUUAGACUUAACAAUGGCUUGCAUUGCAUUGGUGUUGAUUUUACCUAAAUUUUGAGGUUUAUAAUUUAUAAUUUUUAUUAAUUAUUUACA